GGAGAGGAACAAAUCAGUUCAGUACCGCUCAUGAGCUUUAUGGACCCUUGACUAUGGGGAACAGAAACUGAUUUAUUAUGCUUACCCCAUUGCCUAAACAUAUUCCUGUUAGUUCUCCAUGUGUUUGGUGUUGAUACAGAAGAAGUGAAGACAAUAUCAGUGAUGAAGGAAGAUUCGGUCACUCUACAAACUGAUGUUACUGAAGUACAGAAAUAUUUGUUCAUACAGUGGAUGUUUGGAAACACUCGAAUAGCUGAAGUUACACAAACCAGCUCAACAUAUGAUGGUCCUGAUGGGAAAUUCAGAGGCAGACAGCUGGAUCAGACUGGAUCUCUGAACAUCACAAACCCCAGAACCACAGACUCUGGACUUUAUUAACUAAACAUUUUGAGCCAAGAGACCAGCUAGCUACACGAGUUUCAAUCUUACAGUCUAUGAUGUGGCACAUGAAAUGAAGUCAGUGUCAGUGAUGAAGGGAGAUUCUGUCACUCUACACACUGAUGUUACUGAAACAGAAAUAUUUGUUGGUACAGUGGAUGUUUGAAAGCACUCGAAUAGCUGAAGUCAACAGACUCAUGGAGACUAGCUCUAAAUAUGAUGGGAGAUUCAAAGACAGAUUGCAGCUGGAUCAAACCGGAUCUCUAAUCAUCACAAGCACCAGAACCACAGACUCUGGACUUUAUCAACUAACAAUUGUCAGCAGAGAGACCAGCUACAUGAAUUAUAAUGUUACUGUCUAUGAAAGAUCGUCAAGCUCAAAUUGUGUGUCGUCCAGCUGUGCAGCUGUGCAGUGAGCCGUUCAGACUGAAGAUACCAGCAUUGCUGAACUCUAUCAGCCGAGUUCAGGAACAGAGAAUGCCCAGCAGAUAUGUGACAGAGAAGUGUGUUUUCUGGUGUUUGGAUUUCAUUCACUGUUGUGGUUUUACUGAAGCUGUGAUCCGAUUGGCUCUCUCUGCUCUGGUGGCCGUGGCUGCUGUUGCUGUGCUGCUUCAUGACAUCAGGGGCAGUAUUCACAAAACAUUUUAUCUUAGCACUAAGAAUUCUCCUAAAUAG
rnacentral:lncRNA from 12 species